rnacentral:rRNA from 1 species
CCCUUAGAGUUUGAUCAUGGCUCAGAUUGAACGCUGGCGGCAUGCCUUACACAUGCAAGUCGAACGGUAACAGGGAGCUUGCUCCGCUGACGAGUGGCGAACGGGUGAGUAAUACAUCGGAACGUGCCCAGUAAUGGGGGAUAGCUCGGCGAAAGCCGGAUUAAUACCGCAUACGCCCUGAGGGGGAAAGUGGGGGACCGCAAGGCCUCACGUUAUUGGAGCGGCCGAUGGCUGAUUAGCUAGUUGGUAGGGUAAAGGCCUACCAAGGCGACGAUCAGUAGCUGGUCUGAGAGGACGAUCAGCCACACUGGGACUGAGACACGGCCCAGACUCCUACGGGAGGCAGCAGUGGGGAAUUUUGGACAAUGGGGGAAACCCUGAUCCAGCAAUGCCGCGUGUGCGAAGAAGGCCUUCGGGUUGUAAAGCACUUUUGUCAGGGAAGAAAUCCUUUGGGCUAAUACCCUAGGGGGAUGACGGUACCUGAAGAAUAAGCACCGGCUAACUACGUGCCAGCAGCCGCGGUAAUACGUAGGGUGCAAGCGUUAAUCGGAAUUACUGGGCGUAAAGCGUGCGCAGGCGGUUGUGUAAGACAGGUGUGAAAUCCCCGGGCUCUUAACCUGGGAAUUGCAUUUGUGACUGCACGACUAGAGUGUGUCAGAGGGGGGGUGGAAUUCCACGUGUAGCAGUGAAAUGCGUAGAUAUGUGGAGGAACACCAAUGGCGAAAGGCAGCCCCCUGGGAUAACACUGACGCUCAUGCACGAAAGCGUGGGGAGCAAACAGG